UACAGAGGGUGCUAGCGUUGUUCGGAAUCAUUGGGCGUAAAGGGCGCGUAGGCGGUUUGUUAAGUCAUGUGUGAAAUCCCUCGGCUUAACCGAGGAACUGCCUCCCAAACUGCUUGGCUUGAGACCAGGAGAGGUGAGUGGAAUUCCCAGUGUAGCGGUGAAAUGCGUAGAUAUUGGGAGGAACACCAGUGGCGAAGGCGGCUCACUGGACUGGUACUGACGCUGAUGCGCGAAAGCGUGGGGAGCAAACGGG
rnacentral:rRNA from 1 species